GAGUUUGAUCCUGGCUCAGAACGAACGCUGGCGGCAGGCUUAACACAUGCAAGUCAAACGGGUGUAGCAAUACACUAGUGGCGCAAGGGUGAGAAACGCGUGGGAAAUUGCCUUUCAGUACGGAAUAACGCCGGGAAACUGGCGCUAAUACCGUAUGGUCCCUUCGGGGUAAAGAUUUAUCGCUGAAAGAUAUGCCCGCGUCAGAUUAGCUAGUUGGUGAGGUAACGGCUCACCAAGGCAACGAUCUGUAGCUGGUCUUAGAGGACGAUCAGCCACACUGGAACUGAGACACGGUCCAGACUCCUACGGGAGGCAGCAGUGGGGAAUAUUGGACAAUGGGGGAAACCCUGAUCCAGCCAUGCCGCGUGAGUGAUGAAGGCCUUC
rnacentral:rRNA from 1 species